rnacentral:tRNA from 1 species
UGGUCCAGUGGUUAGGACUCGGCACUUUCACUGCCGUGGGCCUGGGUUCAAUCCCUG